rnacentral:rRNA from 1 species
GACGAACGCUGGCGGCGUGCUUAACACAUGCAAGUCGAACGAUGAUGCCCAGCUUGCUGGGUGGAUUAGUGGCGAACGGGUGAGUAACACGUGAGUAACCUGCCCCUGACUCUGGGAUAAGCGUUGGAAACGACGUCUAAUACUGGAUAUGAUCACCGGCCGCAUGGUCUGGUGGUGGAAAGAUUUUUUGGUUGGGGAUGGACUCGCGGCCUAUCAGCUUGUUGGUGAGGUAAUGGCUCACCAAGGCGACGACGGGUAGCCGGCCUGAGAGGGUGACCGGCCACACUGGGACUGAGACACGGCCCAGACUCCUACGGGGGGCAGCAGUGGGGAAUAUUGCACAAUGGGCGAAAGCCUGAUGCAGCAACGCCGCGUGAGGGAUGACGGCCUUCGGGUUGUAAACCUCUUUUAGUAGGGAAGAAGCGAAAGUGUCGGUACCUGCAGAAAAAGCACCGGCUAACUACGUGCCAGCCGCCGCCGUAAAAC